rnacentral:rRNA from 1 species
CCUACGGGUGGCAGCAGUGAGGAAUAUUGGUCAAUGGUCGGGAGCCUGAACCAGCCAAGUAGCGUGAGGGAGGAAUGCCCUAAGUAUUGUAAACUUCUUUUGUCAGGGAAUAAAGUGAGGCACGUGUGCCUUGUUGAGUGUACUUGAUGAAAAAGGAUCGGCUAACUCCGUGCCAGCAGCCGCGGUAAUACGGAGGAUCCGAGCGUUAUCCGGAUUUAUUGGGUUUAAAGGGAGCGUAGAUGGGUUGUUAAGUCAGUUGUGAAAGUUUGCGGCUUAACCGUAAAAUUUCAAUUGAUACUGGCAGUCUUGAGUACAGGUGAGGUAGGCGGAAUUCGUGGUGUAGCGGUGAAAUGCUUAGAUAUCACGCAGAACUCCGAUUGCGAAGGCAGCUUACCAA